GACGAACGCUGGCGGCGUGCCUAAUACAUGCAAGUAGAACGCACAGUUUAUACCGUAGCUUGCUACACCAUAGACUGUGAGUUGCGAACGGGUGAGUAACGCGUAGGUAACCUGCCUGGUAGCGGGGGAUAACUAUUGGAAACGAUAGCUAAUACCGCAUAAUAUUGAUUAUUGCAUGAUAAUUGAUUGAAAGAUGCUAUUGCAUCACUACCAGAUGGACCUGCGUUGUAUUAGCUAGUAGGUGAGGUAACGGCCCACCUAGGCGACGAUACAUAGCCGACCUGAGAGGGGGAUCGGCCACACUGGGACUGAGACACGGCCCAGACUCCUACGGGAGGCAGCAGUAGGGAAUCUUCGGCAAUGGACGAAAGUCUGACCGAGCAACGCCGCGUGAGUGAAGAAGGUUUUCGGAUCGUAAAGCUCUGUUGUAAGAGAAGAACGGGUGUGAGAGUGGAAAGUUCACACUGUGACGGUAUCUUACCAGAAAGAGACGGCUAACUACGUG
rnacentral:rRNA from 1 species